AAUGUAUCUUCCCCAAGAAAAACUAGAGCAGGUGUAUCUAGAAUGUAGGAAACUUUCUCCUGAGUGAGAAUAAUUCUCAAGUUUCUUAACCAGUCGACAUAGUUGGGUCUGGUCAACUUGUUAGUAUCUACGAUACCUCUAAGGGACAGUGAGGAUGCCAUAAGUGUAGUUAAUCUAUAAUGACAAGAAUACAAUAUAAGCGAACAACUCAUGAAGACAUUCACAACUAGACUAGGACUUUUAUCUAAUUGUGUCUCCUACUAUU
rnacentral:lncRNA from 1 species